rnacentral:hammerhead_ribozyme from 1 species
GUAUUGAUGAAGAGUCUCAGGCUAGGACGAAACAGCUGUCCAGUAC